UUAUAGUGGGGGAUAGCCUUUCGAAAGGAAGAUUAAUACCGCAUAANAUUGUAGUAUCGCAUGAUAUAGCAAUUAAAAGGAGCAAUUCGCUAUAAGAUGGACCCGCGUCGCAUUAGCUAGUUGGUGGGGUAACGGCUCACCUAGGCGACGAUCCCUAGCUGGUCUAAGAGGAUGACCAGCCACACUGGAACUGAGACACGGUCCAGACUCCUACGGGAGGCAGCAUG
rnacentral:rRNA from 1 species